rnacentral:rRNA from 1 species
GACGAACGCUGGCGGCGUGCUUAACACAUGCGAGUCGAACGGAGAGGCCCUGCUUUUGUGGUGUGCUCGAGUGGCGAACGUGUGAGUAACACGUGAGUAACCUGCCCUUGACUUUGGUAUAACUUCAGGAAACUGGGGCUAAUACCGGAUAGGAGCUCCUGCUGCAUGGUGGGGGUUGGAAAGUUUCGGCGGUUGGGGAUGGACUCGCGGCUUAUCAGCUUGUUGGUGGGGUAGUGGCUUACCAAGGCUUUGACGGGUAGCCGGCCUGAGAGGGUGACCGGCCACAUUGGGACUGAGAUACGGCCCAGACUCCUACGGGAGGCAGCAGUGGGGAAUAUUGCACAAUGGGCGGAAGCCUGAUGCAGCAACGCCGCGUGAGGGAUGACGGCCUUCGGGUUGUAAACCGCUUUCGCCUGUGACGAAGCGUGAGUGACGGUAAUGGGUAAAGAAGCACCGGCUAACUACGUG